GAAUCGUAGGCAAAUUUGUAGUGUAAACCCAGAAAGAUUACAAAAGGAAGAAAAAAGAAAAGAUAUCGCCGAAACAAGUUCGCAUUUGCGUAGGCACCGAGGAGGAUGGAAUGAAGAUUUCCUCGCAUCAGCGGCAUCUGGAUCGUUCAGCGAUAAACAGAUAUAGUAGGAUGCAAAAAAUACCGCAUAUCAUCACAUUCUGCUGACCUAUAGUGGCACACGCAGUGGACCUUUAAAAAGCAGAGGAGUGAUCAGCAUGGUGCUCCGGAUCAGGCAGUGGUUCCACAACCCUAUAGGAGGAUGGAGGAGACCCCAAGGAAGAGGGAGUAUGUGCUCAAGGAGCAGAUCAGUCUUUGCGUUACCACUAAGUCAAAGUGGCGUCGAUAGCAUCCAUAGUUUGACCUACAAGCCUUCUACAUCUUCGCUCGACUCUACGGAUAAUCUAGUAAGAGUGCUGCCUCAUGAGGAUCAAAAAUUAUUUCAACAGGGGUUUACACUGAAUCUAAUAUGGUUUUACUGAUGAAACAGAUCUCUAAUAUUACAACGUUGUUUUGUUAUUCCAG